UUUCUGUUAUUUUUCUUUUUUUUAUUCUUUACAAAAAAAAGGCCUGAAUUUCCACUUUAAGAACCCAGAAUAUUUUUGCUCAAUCCAAUAAAAACUUGGUGUGAGUUCAUAAAAUGUUUCAUAUAUUUUCUGCUUCAACUCUCAGCUGAAUUGGACAAAGCAAAAUGAAAAUUUUCAUGAGCAAAUCCAUUUUUUUGAGGUGAAACACAGGGUUUCCAGCUCAGCUCUCCUGCUUUUGUGUGCAGAUUUCCUGUCAUCCAUCGAAAAAGAUAGAUAACUUCAUUUGUUUGUGUGACAUACCAGCUGCCCUGCUCCCUACUCUGUAAAAGCACUAUGAGCGUCCCCCGAGGAUCCAAACUGCUUAUUACUCCCAGAACAACUGUGCAUCCAGGCAGCAGCUCACUGGAGGAGGAUGGAGAGCGAGAAAUGGAGGAUGGGAAAGAGGUGAAAACAAAAGUGGGAUAAAAGGCAACGGGAGACCGGAGCUUCAUUGACAGUUGCUUUGAAUAAAUCAUUGUGUUUGUUGUAAUGCAGUUUUGUGCAGCAAUUUCUGCUACUUGAUGCAUGUCAAGCUGUAAAUAAAUGUAGUCAUCUGGUCUAGAGCAGCUUCUGUUGACAGGAUCAAUUUAUCAAACAGCCAGGCAGAUAUAACAGGUUCAUAUGUGACGUGGAGCCGAGAUGGAGCUCUUCUGACCUUCAAGGCCGUGCCGUCUGCUGAACCUGCUCCCUCUUAAAAGAACUGCUCCUUCACCUCGUAAAGGAUUCAGCUUUAAAAAUGCCAUGCUACAAAUACGGAGAGGGGGAUAAAGCCUGAAUUCUGACAGCAAUAAGAAGAGAUUUAGGUUCACUGCCAUGUGGCAGGGUACAUCACUGAGAAGCAGUGUGCAUUCAAACUCAUUUGAAGGUUUUUCUUUUAAUGAUUUUAAACUACACACCACCACGGUUUCCUAGCAAAUGUCAUUUCACUGUUUCAGUUGAAAAUACUUCAAGAGCUAUGUUGCCAGAUCCUUAAAUAUCAUAGAAAGUAUUAAUAUUGGUGAUCCAAUGUUAUGCUGACAGACUCGCAUAGAUUUUGUGAUUUAAAUAGAAGAAUAGAUUUGAUAACAAGAAGCCAUUUUCUCCAAAACAGAAAAGCUUGUUCUGGUUUGCCGAUAGUAACCCAAUUUGAAUGGACAAAUAGAGCUAAAAAACUCAAAUGAUUUACACCUUCAUCUGGUUUGGCUUCACACUUCACUGUUGAGAUAGGAUAAAACUGUCUCUGUCCACUGUCCCUGGAAAAAUUACACACUAACAACUGUUCAUGUGCACUGA